AUUUGCAACUUAAAAACCCAAAAGGCACGAGCUCCCAUCUGAUCUUGGAUGUUAAACAGGACAGCCUUGGUUAGUACUUGGGUGGAAGACUGCCAAUGAAUAAGAGGUACUGCAGGUU
rnacentral:rRNA from 11 species